rnacentral:rRNA from 1 species
GAUGAACGCUGGCGGCGUGCCUAAUACAUGCAAGUCGAGCGAACGGACGAGGAUCUUGCUUCGCUGAUGUGAGCGGCGGACGGGUGAGUAACACGUGUAUAACCUACCUAUAAGACUGGGAUAACUUCGGGAAACCGUAGCUAAUACGGGAUAAUAUUUUGAACCGCAGGGGUCAAAAGAGAAAGACGGCCGUUCUGUCACUUAUAGAGGGAUCCGGGCUGCAUGAGCUAGUUGGUAAGGUAACGGCUUUCCAAGGCAACGAUGCACAGCCGAACUCAGAGAGUGAUAGGCCACACGGGAGCUUGGACACGGUCAAGAGGACUACGAGAGGCAGCAGUAGGGAAUGUUCCGCAAUGGGCGAAAGCAUGACGGAGCAACGCGGCGUGAGUGAUGAAGGUGUUGGGAUCGUAAAACUCUGUUAUUAGGGAAGAACCUCUGUGUCAGUAACUGUGGACUUCUUGACGGUACCUAGUAAGAAAGCACCGGCUAACUACGUG